AUAUCUUUUAAUUGCAUAUAUACAUAGCAUCACAAAUAAUCUGAUAAACUUGUCGAAACAUUUAUGAGUUAUGCAGUGAUGCAAUUAGCUAGUUAUCAGGAGCUCAUGUGCCAAAUUCCAACUCUAAACUGUUCUGAAGGCAACUCUGCCUUGGGGACACAACCAACGUAAUUGGUUCCGACAACCAGUGUCAUUCAAAAUAACCAGUAUGCAGAGAUUAUCUUCAGAAAACUGCACACUUCGUCGGCACGUUUUAUAUGAACACAACGCUAUUUUAAUUGUGAUUUUGCUUUUUUGUUUUAAUCAGUUCCUGUUAUAUGGUAUUAGUUGCUCCAUCUUUUUUACUCGGUUAGUUGUUAUCCUACAAGGUGUUGUGCAAGGUACACUAACGUGCUGUGAAUGCUGCCUGGAUACACUUAGUCGCUUGCUGUCGUAAUGCUGUACAGUGUCUGUCGAGGAGCAUGCCUUUGCGCUUGUUUUUUUUUUUAAAGCAAUGCUCGGUUUUUGCUUGUUGGCGCUGGAAAAACGGUGCGUAUUAACACGGAAUAGCACGGUCCUGGUAUAAGAGUGCUAUUUCUGCUCGGGUAUACGGCGAUGGUAGCCACCGUGUUCUCCCGAGAAGGGUCUGAACUGACAUCAGUGUUUGUAAUAGCGUGUCCUAAUAGCUGUGGGAAAGUUUGCUUUUGUUGUACAUGAACAGUACAUUUAAACUUCGUGUCUUCAUCUCCUGAUACUGAGUGGUGGAUGCACUGACGCUGCUAGGAAAUCCAUAUAUAGGUCUUUGGAAUGGACUUGCAGUAUAAUGUUGUGAUGUUUUGCCUCUUGUUGUGGAGACUUCAUCCAUGGAAACAUCUGCAAGGGCUUUUCCAGGAACAGGCGACCACACAGGGAAAAUGGACAGAACGACCAGGAACACAGGCAGACACACAGCCUGGCAACAGGAGCACACAGAAAGGCUACAACUAGAAAUCAAGACACACCGGCAAAGUAAGAGAAAGGCAAAAAGAGAAAAGCAAAGCCUGAGGGCGGCAACCACACACAGUCUUAAACCUGGAUCAUCCAAAGACAUGCUGUGGCUACGGGACAAAGAGCCGCCUCUCGGGCAUGGCAGCCAGAGCCAAUGUUUAGCUUCCUGAAAGACAGGCUCUGUUCCGCUACCCUCUCCAUCAGGUAGCAUCAGUCUCCGUCACACUGGCCUCAUUUCAGGGAGCACACCCCUGCACUUAACACAUUCCUCGUGUCCCUCACACAUCCAUCCCUCCUCCAGGGUUACACCCAUCCCCCUCGCCAUGGGGUCACACUGGAUAUCGCACCAUCCCCUCAUAGUGCGCGCGCGUGUGUGCGUGUGCGUGUGUUGCUUUAACCAUGGGCACGUUCCUGAUGGUUAUACAACACCAUCCCACUUCUGACAUCAUUUGUAGAAAGGCUAAGGGCAGCAACAAGAGGCGGAUCUCAAACCCAAGUGUUCCAGGCAGCCAACAUUUGCUCUGACUGCCAGACCAAAGCGCCAACAUUCUGGCACAGGAGCCGGACCACAUUUAUCUUCUUGAGUGACGGUGUCCGUCACACUUAGUGAAGCCAGCAUAUGCGCUCAAGAUGUUGCAAACUGCCAAAGCAAACAAGGGAGUCCAUAUGUGUGUGAUAAUCAGUGCCUGCAUCGAGAACAGGUGCAGGUGAUGAUGAGGGGGCGGUGCCAAGCUGAAGCUAGAACAUGACAGGACCAAUCAGGAGAAGAGGAACUGGUGUAACAUCUCCAUAUGGAGACUUUAUGACAGUAGUUAAUCAUCACUAAUGCCAUGCUUAGUAAUACCGUGCUUCUACCGAAGAAAAUAGAUAAUGUCUUAUAUAAUUUCAUAGAUAAUGUAACUGAUAAGAUAUGUUUCUCAAUUACAUUUACUGUAAAAGUAAUUUGGAAAGAAAUACAUUUAGGGUAAAGGAGGGCUUUUUUCUGGGUAGCACAGUAGCUGGUAUAUAUGGUGCUGACUGUUAAACAAACACAAGUGUUGAUGGGAAGUUUUUUGGCAAUGCAAGACACCUGCAAGGCGAGAGACCUGACGAAGAUCCCACUGGAGCUGAGAUGUUGUCAUUAUGUCUUCAUAAAGCACAGUGUCUGAGCAGAAUAUAGAGUGCGGGCUUAUUCAUUUAUUAAUGCAAGAAGUCAGUCAGCUUUUUAGCUAUUAAAUGUUAAAAUAGCAGUAGAGGUAAAACAAGAUGUGAGUGCUGGCAAUGCAUCAUAGCCUAUGGCAUAUUAUAAGGAGUCUAAUUAAGAUUUUUUCAUUUCAUGCAGGCCAAGCCGCUCUGGAUAAAAGCGUCUGCUAAUGAAUGUAAAUGUAAAGGAAAAGGUAACUAAAGGUGAAAUUCCUUGCGAGCAGUGAGGAAGUCAUGUUGGGAAGUCAUGUUGGGAAGUCAUGUUG